GUCGCUGCAAAUUCAGCGACGCGGGUUUUGCAGCCCGGAUGCUUGAGGCGCACAGCGCCGCGAAAGCGGCAUUUUU
rnacentral:sRNA from 1 species